rnacentral:rRNA from 1 species
UACAGAGGUCCCAAGCGUUGUUCGGAUUCAUUGGGCGUAAAGGGUGCGUAGGUGGCGCCAUAAGUCAGGUGUGAAAUUUCGGAGCUUAACUCCGAAACUGCAUUUGAUACUGUGGUGCUUGAGGACUGGAGAGGAGACUGGAAUUUACGGUGUAGCAGUGAAAUGCGUAGAGAUCGUAAGGAAGACCAGUGGCGAAGGCGGGUCUCUGGACAGUUCCUGACACUGAGACACGAAGGCCAGGGGAGCAAACGGG